rnacentral:rRNA from 2 species
UACGGAGGGUGCAAGCGUUAUCCGGAUUUACUGGGUUUAAAGGGUGCGUAGGUGGAUAAGAAAGUCAGUGGUGAAAUCUCCGGGCUUAACCCGGAAACUGCCAUUGAUACUAUUUAUCUUGAAUACUUUGGAGGUAAGCGGAAUAUGUCAUGUAGCGGUGAAAUGCUUAGAUAUGACAUAGAACACCAAUUGCGAAGGCAGCUUACUACACAGUUAUUGACACUGAGGCACGAAAGCGUGGGGAUCAAACAGG